UCCAGACUCCUACGGGAGGCAGCAGUGAGGAAUAUUGGUCAAUGGGCGCGAGCCUGAACCAGCCAAGUCGCGUGAGGGAUGACGGCCCUACGGGUUGUAAACCUCUUUUGUCGGGGAGCAAAUUCCGUUACGUGUAACGGAGUCGAGAGUACCCGAAGAAAAAGCAUCGGCUAACUCCGUGCCAGCAGCCGCGGUAAUACGGAGGAUGCGAGCGUUAUCCGGAUUUAUUGGGUUUAAAGGGUGCGUAGGCGGAGUGUGAAGGAGGGGGUAAAAUCCGGGGGCCCAACCCCGGCGAGCCGUUGAAACUGGCUGUCUUGAGAUGUCGAGAGGUAUGCGGAAUGCGCAGUGUAGCGGUGAAAUGCUUAGAUAUUGCGCAGAACUCCGAUUGCGAAGGCAGCAUACCGGCGGCGAUCUGACGCUGAGGCACGAAAGCGUGGGUAUCGAACAGGAUUAGAUACCCUGGUA
rnacentral:rRNA from 1 species